rnacentral:lncRNA from 1 species
UAUGGACCUGAAGCAGCGAGGCUUGUACAAAAAUGACUGAAUGCCAAUAUUUCGCAGUACAGUUCAAGCCAGCUAGGUUGAUUUAGUAAGUAGCUUAUUAUACGGCACUCGGACCAUUCUUGAAUUUACCUGUUUUUGAAAACAAAACAAAAAAAAAGCUUAUAUCUGUUUGUGUGGAAAUGGUCUCUGUGGCAAAAUUUUGACAAAGAAAGAACCAAUCAGAACGGGCAAAUUUUCCUCAAGACUACUGUAUCGAACUGGAACAGUGUGGAGACCAUGAGCUGUCAUUUGAGGCUUUGGUUUAAUGAUUAUGUUACACAAAGUAAGAAAUGAUACAAAAAGAUAUAUGUUUACUGAUCUCGGGCAAAUUUGAAACAACUGAAUCAUGAAAGGCUUAAUUAAAGGUUUACAAUUUCUGACGAAAACUGUGAAGGCGAUAUAAAAUAGGGUCUAAGAAAGUAACACACAAGGAACAAUAAUCCGUUUGUAUAAACAAAGAAACGGUUAGCAGUUACGUGGAUGAGAACAACAUGUUUAGCAUAUUAGCUCUUCUCUAAGACAUAUUGUGAUGAAACUAAUGAAAACAAAAUACAAUAUAGUUCUUUUGUCUACAGUUUUUAGAAUAUUACAUUACAUUGAUACAUUUGAUACAAUCGUAACUCUAUUAUUUACAGCAAAAAACCAGGUUAAUUUUUUUUUUAUUACUUGGUGAUGCAUAUUUGAUAGCCUUCUGAAUCCUGAUGACUUCCAUUAAAACUAUUUUGCAAAUCAAAUUGCAUUAGAACAACUGUACAAGUCAAAGAUUUCAAUUGUCAAAGUGUGGACAUGGAGUUUCUCAACUCCAAUAUAGUUCAAGACCCAUUUAAAACAACAGCCAUUUUUUGCAAUGAACAGAUCAAAACUACCAUCAAACUGAAGAAAUAUUCCAUGAGAAAAAGAGGAUAGAACCUAUCUUCUUAAAUAUAUACCAAGUUUAGGUUCUCAAACAUAAAAGAGUUUCCUUCAAUUACCUCAUUUAAGUUUGCUCUUGAAUUUGUUUGUUUUUAUCCUACAGAAAUGGCUGGGCACUUUGCAGCAAAAGUCAAUGCCAAGGUGCUUGCUCUUUCACAUUUUAGCCAGAGAUAUAAGGGAGAUGGUGAAAAUGUAGCAACCAAGACUGGAGACUGUGUUAGCAUAGAAAAACUCCUCAGACAAGCAGAAAAAGCUUUUAAAUCAGACAGUGUAAUUGCUGCUGAAGAUUUUAUGGCUGUUCACAUUCCCCUGAAACUUAAAGAAUGGUGGAUCUUGGGCCAAUUAUUAUAAAAUACAUAUGUUGUGGUAUGAAAAUUUCAAAGCAGUUUGGUUUUUAUUUUUCAUUCUCAGUUACAGUUAGACUGUUCACAACCUCUCUAUAUUUCAACGUAUGUGAAGAAUAAUGUGAGCAAAGUGAGCAUGAGUGCAAAAGCACAAUGGAGUGGGGGUGGGGAGGCAAGCAAAGCAAGCUCUUUAUUCUUCUCAGUUCCACCCCAUACCCCGUCAAGCCAUCCAUUUUGCACUAGUGCCCAGUUCUCCUAAAUAUGAGAGUCACUUAUAAAAGAAGAUAGAACAAUAGGUAACAAAAUCUAUGCAAAAAGUGGUAGCAGGAUUAUGUAAUCUAUCACUAGGCUAACAAUAAACUUGUACAAAAUCUUAAAUGAAUAUUUACAAAACAAGUUGACAAGGUAUAAUAUCCUAUUGAGUUAACUAACAAAUUUAAAUAUGCUGCUGCGAGUUUGCUAUUAAUAAUUAUAGUUUACAAGGGUAUACCCCAACUAAAGCAGGAGAACAAUAUUUUUCAACAUUUAUCGUUUUCUUCCUUUUGAAUGCUUUUUAGUUCAAACUGUGACUUCCCUAUGACUGUUACUUAGUAGGAUUUAUGGCAACCUCCUUCCCAGGGUCGCUGCCUGGGAACGAGGUUUGGCACUCCACAAACAGUACCUUUCAAACUUAUAUGGGAAUUAUGUGUGGUUUUUAGGUCUCUCUAUAUAACUACUAUUUUACACAUAUAUGACAUAAUAUGUGGUUAAUUCUCCCACAGGUGUGACAGAGUUAAUGAGUCAAAAGUUAAUCCCAUAGAAGAAUUUUGGGCUUAAGCUUUAUAAUAACCACAAUAGUAACAUAUUCAUGCAGUGCCUUAAUUUAGCAUUCUAAGGGGCUUUACAAAGUGUUAAAGCUCAGUUCAACUUCUAAAACUAGUAAUAUACAUACAAAAGUAAGACAUGGAGAAUUUAGCAAUAAAAUGAGUGAAAUAAAAAAAUAAAAAAACUAACUAUACUAACCAAUAAAACAAAGAUAACACAUGUUAUGUAGAAAAAAA